GGGGACACCAUUUGCAUUGUAAUCUUUGUGAAUGUGUCUCCCCAACUCGAAUAAUGGGAAUGGUGCCAUUGGAGUUUUGCAACAUGGCCUUGAGUCCUAAGGUCACUUUAAUAUCAAAAUCAUAGUUUUAAUUCAGUAUUUAGAUAUGUUUCAUCUCAUAUAUUGAAGAAUACAUUACUUUUCAUUCAGUUAGGACUUUUCCUCCCCACCCCGCCUUCAUUCCAGGGCCUGGCAGGAGACACACCAUACUGUAAACCUUAUUGCUCAGCCCUUAGGGCUGUGCAGUUGGGAGGAGGGCUAGAGGCGGCCCGUCUGAUUGAUCUGGCCCUCAGUCUAACUCUCCACUCAUAGCAGUGCCUCAUCUUCAGUCGGUUCCUCCCAGUGCCCCUGGGAUUCUGCCUUGUGGCAGUUAUCACAAAACCCCUUACUCCUAGGUUGGCUUCCACCCUCUCAGACUCUCCUGUUGGAAAGUGAAAGUGAAGUCGCUCAGUCGUGUCCAACUUUUUGUGACCCAUGGACUGUAGCCCACCAAGCUUCUCUGUCCAUGGGAUUCUCCAGGCAAGAAGACUGGAGUGGGUUGCCAUUUUCUUCUCCAGGGAAUCUUCCCGACCCAGGGAUCAAACCCAGGUCUCCCACAUCGCAGGCAGACACUUGAACCUCUGCACCACCAGGGAAGCCCUUAAAUACGAGAAUACAGUCUCUCAGAAAACCUUCUAUAGAGACACAGAACUUCAGAUCCAAGUACUAACACCAAAGAUUUUAAAGGGAGGAAAGGAAGCCAGGUUGAAAGAAGAAGGGGGAGGAGGUGGGAGGGGGGGGCGAAAGGGGUGGCCUUACAGUCUCCUGCCACCUACAGAUACCCAGGCGUUACGGGACUUUUCCCUGGGCCUCCAGAGAAGGGAGGACUGGAACUCGGCCGUACCAGAAAUCAGACCAGACCAGAACCAGAAUUCGAGUUCUCUGCCAAGAGGAGGUGAUCAGUCUCCAAUCCUCAGCUCAGGCUGAGGGCCCUUUGACCAGAUUCCUGCGUCCAGGACCGGGGGACUAGAAAAACGGGGAAGGAUAGGAAGGGUUAAGGAGAGGAAAGAGAGAGGGAAGUGGAGAGAGGUCAAUAAAGUCUCUUGUUUCCUUACCCGGUCGGGGCAGUCUGGCCAGUUGUCCACGUCAGGAGGAGACCAGGGACAAAAGGGUCCCAGUUGCAGCCGCUGGGUCUGGUCCAUUGGCAGGCAAGCUGGCCCCUGAGUACCCCGAGUGAUCAGGAUGUCAGUCUCAGCAAAGAAGAGUCCCCACCAGAGUCGCCAUUUGUUGCAGGAAGGCGGACCCCUUCCAGGGCCUGAAACUGGGCUCUUGUCUAACGCUCAGAAAUGAAUUGUCCGAGGAGACACAUAUGCUGACAAAGCAAGAGACUUUAUUGGGAAAGGGCACCCGGGUGGAGAGCAGUAGGGUAAGGGAACCCAGGAGAACUGCUCUGCUGCGUGGCUUACAAUGAGAGGAUACCUUUUUAAAUGACCCCGGGGCGGAUACUAGUUUUCAUCUAGUCCCUAGAAUUCCCAUACUUCUGACCCAUUGCUAGAGGAGAGAGCAGGACCUUCUGAGUCACCCAUGUGUGUCUGCUCUCCUAGCUUGCUGUAGCAGGUACAGGAGAGGGUCAGAUAUUAUUACCUUGUGCUUGUCAGUUGGGACUGGGACUGCAGUGAAGCUGCUGAGGCAGUCACCCUGAGUGCAAGAUUACAGCGGGUGCCAAAAAACUCAGCAAUUAAGAUAAACUAUUGUAAUGAAAUAUUUUAAAAAUAAAUAUUAAUGCAAAAAACCAUGAUGAGCAAGGUAUCAAAACUAUGACUAAAGACAGGAUUAGAGC
ensembl:lncRNA